AAAGAACUAGUCUAACAUAAGACCUCUAACUUCGACUUAGAAGAUCACGAUUAACCCCGCGGUUCUAUAUAA